rnacentral:rRNA from 1 species
AUGAACGCUGGCGGCGUGCCUAAUCCCUGCAAGUCGAGCGGACAGACGAGGAGCUUGCUCCUCUGACGUUAGCGGCGGACGGGUGAGUAACACGUGGAUAACCUACCUAUAAGACUGGGAUAACUUCGGGAAACCGGAGCUAAUACCGGAUAAUAUAUUGAACCGCAUGGUUCAAUAGUGAAAGACGGUUUUGCUGUCACUUAUAGAUGGAUCCGCGCCGCAUUAGCUAGUUGGUAAGGUAACGGCUUACCAAGGCAACGAUGCGUAGCCGACCUGAGAGGGUGAUCGGCCACACUGGAACUGAGACACGGUCCAGACUCCUACGGGAGGCAGCAGUAGGGAAUCUUCCGCAAUGGGCGAAAGCCUGACGGAGCAACGCCGCGUGAGUGAUGAAGGUCUUCGGAUCGUAAAACUCUGUUAUUAGGGAAGAACAAAUGUGUAAGUAACUAUGCACGUCUUGACGGUACCUAAUCAGAAAGCCACGGCUAACUACGUG